UGCGCGGAAGAUGUAACGGGGCUAAACCAUGCACCGAAGCUGCGGCAGCGACACUAUGUGUUGUUGGGUAGGGGAGCGUUCUGUAAGCCUGCGAAGGUGGCCUGUGAGGGUUGCUGGAGGUAUCAGAAGUGCGAAUGCUGACAUAAGUAACGAUAAAGCGGGUGAAAAGCCCGCUCGCCGGAAGACCAAAGGGUUCCUGUCCAACGUUAAUCGGGGCAGGGUGAGUCGACCCCUAAGGCGAGGCCGAAAGGCGUAGUCGAUGGGAAACAGGUUAAUAUUCCUGUACUUGGUGUUACUGCGAAGGGGGG
rnacentral:rRNA from 1 species